rnacentral:rRNA from 1 species
GCUAGAGUGCAGGAGAGGAAGGUAGAAUUCCCGGUGUAGCGGUGAAAUGCGUAGAGAUCGGGAGGAAUACCAGUGGCGAAGGCGGCCUUCUGGACUGACACUGACACUGAGGUGCGAAAGCGUGGGUAGCAAACAGGAUUAGAUACCCUGGUAGUCCACGCCGUAAACGAUGUCGACCAGCCGUUGGGUGCCUAGCGCACUUUGUGGCGAAGUUAACGCGAUAAGUCGACCGCCUGGGGAGUACGGCCGCAAGGUUAAAACUCAAAUGAAUUGACGGGGGCCCGCACAAGCGGUGGAGCAUGUGGUUUAAUUCGAUGCAACGCGAAGAACCUUACCUACUCUUGACAUCCUGCGAAUUUGGUAGAGAUACCUUAGUGCCUUCGGGAACGCAGAGACAGGUGCUGCAUGGCUGUCGUCAGCUCGUGUUGUGAAAUGUUGGGUUAAGUCCCGUAACGAGCGCAACCCUUGUCCUUAUUUGCCAGCGCGUAAUGGCGGGAACUCUAAGGAGACUGCCGGUGACAAACCGGAGGAAGGUGGGGACGACGUCAAGUCAUCAUGGCCCUUACGAGUAGGGCUACACACGUGCUACAAUGGUCGGUACAAAGGGUUGCCAACUCGCGAGAGUGAGCCAAUCCCGAAAAGCCGAUCUCAGUCCGGAUCGGANUCUGCAACUCGACUCCGUGAAGUCGG